GCUGCAGCCUUACUCCCAGCGAUUAAUAGUCGCUAUCCAAAAAAGCCAAUUAAAACUCAGUUGAAAAAUUUAGGCCGAUUCAGUUGGUACCACCACCUCGGUUUUGACUGAGCCGCGGACCAGGGACAACGUAGAAAAUAUAUCAAGAAACGACUAGUGAUUAUUUUUGAAACGGUAGCCGAAGUAAGCCGAUAUCAGGCCGAUGUUGCGUUCCGUAUUUCAAUAGAGGUGAAAGAAAGAGAUGUCGCUCUAUAAAAUUGUAUAAGAUCUUGUGUUUUUUCUCGCUCUGACAAGGAAAAAAUUGGUGUGCGUUCGAAGUACUAGCGAAGCUUGAAAUAAGAAAUCCGGUAAUCAUCAGUCCAUAUUAUGUUUUUAUUUUUUCAAUGUUAGUAAAAUAUUAAUUAAAAUACUUAUUAAACACUAGGUUAAAGUCAUCACUCAUGCCAUUUUUUACUUAUUAUUCACAAAAACUUAACUUUGUAAACGUUAAAAUAUGAAAUUAGGGGCUUUUGAACGCAUUCAAACUUAAAAUCAAAAUACUCUGUGAACCUGUGAAAACACUCCCUCAGUGUUGCCAUUAGCGUACAUUUUACACAUUUGACGUACUAUUUUAGCCUCCCAUGUGUAAUGUGUAUAUAAUUGGUCCAUGUAAUGUACCAUUUAAACUUAACUUCCAAUAUCAUGAUUAUCAUGUGUAAAAUCUUUGUUUAUGGACUAUUUUACGUAUUUUUUUUGGAAUCGCAGCAAAAAAAUUAUUAACCACAAUUAGUUACGAUUUUGAUUUUCUUGUAUGAUUAUUUUCUCAACCAAUAUGAUUAUUACAUGAUUACAAUGAGUAUAAGUAUAUCAUACCUACAUAAAACUGCGGGGUACCUACUCUGAAGGGUUUAGGACAUUGUAACACUUUUUAAAAUGCUAUAAUAAAUAUAGGUACGUUUCUCACGACUAAAAUCUAUUAAAAUAUAGUACUUCUGCUGACGAGCAGGUGCGAAAGAGCUGGAAAAGCUAAAUUGAGUGAUUUUAGUAAAAAAACAGCUCAUGUACGGUUUUAACCCUAAAUGUACGUUUUCAGCGCUGGAUAUGUGCGUUUUGAGAACUCCGUUGCGGCAACACUGCACUCCCUCCACUUCAUUCAUACAACAUACAAUAACAAUGAUAAAACAAAAUUACAAAUGGAAUUUCCUUAUUUAAAUCAUAUUUAAAUAGAUAUUUGUGCACUAAAUACAUAAUAAUAUGACAAAGAAGAAGAAGACGUUGCGUGUCACCGUAUAGCCAAGGAAAUAUCUUGUGAAAGUUUUAACUCAAGGCGGAAAUCUAUUGAAAAAAUACUCAACAUAACCUACAAUUACAGUGAAAUACUGAAAAUAUCUUGUACCGUGAUAAUAUUUCUGAAUAAUAAGUGCAAACCCAUACUCUAAGAUCGUGCUUUCAACCACAUACUUAAUACAAUUCCAUAAUCAUAUCGAAAUCCUAAAGUUCGUAAGUCGUAAGUGAUCAUAGUUUAGGUGUGUACUUAUUAGACUCAUGCAUUGUAAACUCUAUAAACGAUUACUCGUAAUGUAUUAAUCAUAUUAAAAGUUGAA